GUGAAUCAUCGAAUUUUUGAACGCAAAUUGCACUCCCUGGUAUUCCGGGGAGUAUGCCUGUUUGAGGGUCGUUAGAACAAAAAUCGAAGCGUCGCUCUUUUUUUUAGGGUGAUUGCGUUCGAAUUGAGCCCUUCUUUCAAAGUUUAAUUCUGUCCAAGUUGCCUAAAAUUUCAUCAAUCGGUAACAUUUAAAC
rnacentral:misc_RNA from 1 species